GAUGAACGCUGGCGGCGUGCCUAAUACAUGCAAGUCGAGCGAACAGACGAGGAGCUUGCUCCUCUGACGUUAGCGGCGGACGGGUGAGUAACACGUGGAUAACCUACCUAUAAGACUGGGAUAACUUCGGGAAACCGGAGCUAAUACCGGAUAAUAUAUUGAACCGCAUGGUUCAAUAGUGAAAGACGGUUUUGCUGUCACUUAUAGAUGGAUCCGCGCCGCAUUAGCUAGUUGGUAAGGUAACGGCUUACCAAGGCAACGAUGCGUAGCCGACCUGAGAGGGUGAUCGGCAACCCUGGAACUGAGACACGUUCCAGACUCCUACGGGAGGCAGCAGUAGGGAAUCUUCCGCAAUGGGCGAAAGCUUGACGGAGCAACGCCGCGUGAGUGAUGAAGGUCUUCGGAUCGUAAAACUCUGUUAUUAGGGAAGAACAAAUGUGUAAGUAACUAUGCACGUCUUGACGGUACCUAAUCAGAAAGCCACGGCUAACUACGU
rnacentral:rRNA from 1 species